ensembl:lncRNA
UGAAGGUGUGGCUGCCGAGCUGAGGGUGUGGCUCAGAGACAAAACACCUGCCUGGCAUGCACAGGCCCUGAGUUCUAGUGCCAGCACACAUAACCCUCUAAAAGAGAAUGAGGAUCCAGCCUUCCUCCCCUCAUGUCUGGGUUGACCUCCUAGCUUUAUCCCAGAGGACCUGGAAGACGUGAUGCUUGCACAGUCUUUGGCUAAAUGCCGAGGCUAUGUUGAGGGAAGCCUGAGAGCUGCUGCUUUUUUGGUUGGUUGUUUCCCAUGAUGCCAUGGUGUGAAGGAGUUGGUCCUGCCUUCUGGAGACAAUGAGCACACAGACAGAAUGAGUUGCACCAGCCCAUAACCAGGAACAGCCCUGGACAGAGGUGCAUCCAACCCUGGAUGCUCUAUACCAGGUAGACUCUUCUUGAAGAUUUGUUUUUGCAGCAAGUACCAAGGUUCCUGGGCUCCUCUAUGACAAGAGACCACAAAAGAAAAGGAAUGGAAUUUUGGCAGAUCUGAGCUAUCAGUUGUGUGCAGAAGUUGCAAGUGGCUUGAGAAGGACCCAGAUAAGCAGCAGAACACUCAGGGAAACCUUCAGGCUUUUGGCUGAAAGUCGUGGAGAAGAAGUGCACCAAAGGCCUUUUCUAGAUGAAGGUGUGGUGUGACUACCUCGCACCUAGCGAUGGUGGCAGAAACAUGUUUGUAGGUGAAAGUGCAUGCAGUGAAAGGAUUGGAGCAAAGUUUGUAAACAGGAACAACAAACAAACAACAGCGAAGCAGAGCCGUCUGUUCAGGACGCUGAGACCGAAGGACCGUUUAAGUCUGGGAGCUGAAGCCCAGCUGGAGUUCACAGCGAGGCUCGAACAAGAAAACCUAAGAGUGGCCAGAUAUGGUGCCCACACCUUUAAUCCUAACAUGUGAGGGGCGGAAACAGAAGCGGACAGAUCUCUGUGAGUUUGAGCUCAGCCGGGUCUACAUAUCAAGUUCCAGGCUAGCCAGAGACACACAGUAAGUUCCUGCCUCAAAACAGCAAUAGCGGGGCUGGGGAUUUAGCUCAGUGGUAGAGCACUUGCCUAGGAAGUGCAAGGCCCUGGGUUCGAUCCCCAGCUCCGGAAAAACAAAAACAAACAAACAAAAAAAAAAACAGCGAUAGCAACAACAACAACGAAAGAGUAGGUGUAAUGGGGAAAGAGCAAAUAAGGAUAAUAAGGUAGAAAAUAUAAAAUAGGAUUAAGG